UAAAUCAUGAUCGUUGUGAUCAAGUUUUUAUCUUCAGUUAUAUGCUUGUACUGAAUUAUUCACUUCCCCCUCUGGUUUUAGAGGAGUGUUCUUCAUUCAAUGACCUGCCUGAUAAUGGGAAUGCAGCCCCAUGUGAAAAUCUGCGAAAACAACUGAAGAAUUACAUCCCGGAUGUCAGAUGAUAACAUAAUCGAACAGGAGUUUUGAUGAAAUAUUGGUGCCUGUUUCUCAGGAGGAUCUCGUAAUGCCAUAAUCCAUAGUUUUUCAGUAAGGUGAGUGGUUUCUGGAAGUACAGGCGUCGCAUGUCCAUGUACUCCUACCAUUCACAUUAUCAAGUGCAUUGAUGACAGCAUCAAGGCCCUCGCCGCCUGCCCGCCUCAUCUCGACAGAUUUAGAGGCGCGCGGGAGCUGCCACAGCCGCCACCGGGAAUGUGGGCGCAUGCGGGGCGGCCGCCGGCGAACAAGGUCGUGCGUGAGUCCGAAUUAAUUUAUCCAAGAUUUUUGAAUUUAAACACUCAGAGCUCUCCGCCACCAGCAUACUCCCGAGUCCGAAUGAAAUGCUGCCAGGAAUCAAGCGUUAGUCGGUGAAACAACAUCUUCAAAGUCUAGGGUAAAGUGGGAGAGAUGCUACACUUACGCGCACAUUUCUACGGAAUUAAGUUACAGACUGAUGUGUUGAAUCUCGAUUGGAAAUCUCGAGAGGGUGUGACCCAGGCCCUGAAAAUCAGGGGGAGUGGUUAGUGCAGGGAGGAGUCUGUAAGUGGGCUCCCGUAGGUCUUGCCUGGAAGUAGGAUUUUCGGGUGGCCACUAACCUGUCUCCCUAACAAUUUACUCUUUUCCUCUGUAGAAUCUGGUGGAUGGCAACAAAUUCAGGCUAUGGACAGAUGAUUUCAAAGAUUACCAAACUAUUUCUUUUAUGGAAUGAGAUUACCCACAUAAUAAUUCAGAAGAGUAGUACUUUAUCUUACUACCUUGAGAAGUUCAUCACAUGGUUGCAGAUGAGACUGAACACCCUGAUG